CACGUAGUUAGCCGGAGCUUAUUCUACAGGUACUGUCUUUUUUCUUCCCUGUCUAAAAUAGUUUACAAUCCGAAAACCUUCUUCCUAUACGCGGUGUCACUGCAUCAGAGUUUCCCCCAUUGUGCAAUAUUCCCGACUGCUGCCUCCCGUAGGAGUCUGGGCCGUAUCUCAGUCCCAAUGUGGCCGUUGAGCCUCUCAGCUCGGCUACCGAUCGUUGCCUUGGUAGGCCUUUACCCCACCAACUAGCUAAUCGGACGCAAGCCCAUCUAUUAGCGGAUUUCUCCUUUUCUGACUAUACCAUGCGGUAUUGUCAGCUUAUGCGGUAUUAGCAGUGAUUUCUCACUGUUAUUCCCCUCUAAUAGGCAGGUUGCUUACGUGUUACUCACCAGUCCGCCACUAAAUCAUUGUUAUUAACUUAUUUCAGAUAAAUCUUAUUUCCAUUAAUAACGAUUUCCGUCGACUUGCAUGUCUUAUGUGCACCGCAGCGUUAAUCCUGAGCCAGGAUA
rnacentral:rRNA from 1 species